AAAGGGUGGUAGUGCGCAUGCUCGGAGAGGGGGUUGUUUUUUCCCCACCGAAGAGUUAUUAAGGGCACUUUGUACAGAGAUAGAGGUGGGGGUGGGUUGAACUUUGUAGUUGGGCCCUGUGUUUUAUCUUCAAGGAAGUCCUUGAGAUUUUUACAGUUCAGAAUUUCUCAUACCAUUUGUCGAAUACAUGUCAGAUUCAUGGAGGGGCAGGCCAGAAGUCUUUGCUGUCUCAUUGAGCUGCAGCUAACUAAAGGGAGAGGGAGGCACCGAGGAAGAGAAACG